ACAACAUACGGACUGUCUACCGAGCAAUAUCACCCGCUCGGUGGAAGAUCUUUCCCUUUGUCGU
rnacentral:pre_miRNA from 1 species